UGCCGAGUCUCCUCUGACAAUGGGCAGCGGCUCCUGGACAUGAUAGAAACCCUGAAAAUGGAGCACCAUUUGGAAGCACACAAGAACGGCCAUGCCAAUGGGCACCUCAACAUUGGCGUAGACAUCCCCACCCCCGACGGCAGCUUCAGCAUCAAGAUUAAACCCAACGGGAUGCCAAAUGGGUAUAGGAAAGAGAUGAUAAAGAUCCCCAUGCCAGAACUGGAGCGCUCUCAGUACCCCAUGGAGUGGGGCAAGACUUUUCUGGCCUUUCUUUAUGCACUUUCCUGUUUCGUUCUCACCACAGUGAUGAUCUCGGUCGUCCACGAACGAGUACCUCCUAAGGAGGUGCAGCCUCCACUACCGGACACAUUUUUUGACCAUUUUAACCGGGUGCAGUGGGCCUUUUCUAUUUGUGAAAUUAAUGGCAUGAUCCUUGUAGGACUCUGGUUAAUUCAGUGGCUGCUCUUAAAAUACAAAAUUGGACUUUCAAGCCACUGACUAGGAAAAAUUCCUGGGAAAUCUCUGCAUUUGUGUCAGACUUCACUGCAAAACAGAAGGAAGAAUCCUGCUCAAAAAUGAGGUGAAUUAAUACUUGGGCGCUCAGGAACCCUGGACAGCUACAUGAGGUGUUUAAAAACUGCCCUGACCAUCUUGCCAAACAAGUCUCUGCUCAUGAGGCCCCACAGGAUGAACGAGCCGAGGCAGGACAGUGUCCUGCCCUGUCGGAACAGUGACUGCUGACCUGCCAAGAGAGAGCUGGGGACUGCCUGCUGUCUGCCAGUACAAUGAAGGAAGUGGUUUAUUGGUCACCCAAGAAGGUGGCAGACUGGCUGCUGGAGAAUGCUAUGCCAGAAUACUGUGAGCCUCUGGAGCAUUUCACAGGCCAGGACUUGAUCAACCUAACCCAAGAGGAUUUCAAAAAACCCCCCUUG
rnacentral:sRNA from 1 species